rnacentral:rRNA from 1 species
GAUGAACGCUGGCGGCGUGCCUAAUACAUGCAAGUCGAGCGAACGGACGAGAAGCUUGCUUUUCUGAUGUUAGCGGCGGACGGGUGAGUAACACGUGGAUAACCUACCUAUAAGACUGGGAUAACUUCGGGAAACAGGAGCUAAUACCGGAUAAUAUUUUGAACCGCAUGGUUCAAAAGUGAAAGACGGUCUUGCUGUCACUUAUAGAUGGAUCCGCGCUGCAUUAGCUAGUUGGUAAGGUAACGGCUUACCAAGGCAACGAUGCAUAGCCGACCUGAGAGGGUGAUCGGCCACACUGGAACUGAGACACGGUCCAGACUCCUACGGGAGGCGGCAGUAGGGAAUCUUCCGCAAUGGGCGAAAGCCUGACGGAGCAACGCCGCGUGAGUGAUGAAGGUCUUCGGAUCGUAAAACUCUGUUAUUAGGGAAGAACAUAUGUGUAAGUAACUGUGCACAUCUUGACGGUACCUAAUCAGAAAGCCACGGCUAACUACGUG